rnacentral:rRNA from 1 species
UGGGGAAUAUUGCGCAAUGGGGGGAACCCUGACGCAGCCAUGCCGCGUGAAUGAAGAAGGCCUUCGGGUUGUAAAGUUCUUUCGGUAUUGAGGAAGGUUGAUGUGUUAAUAGCACAUCAAAUUGACGUUAAAUACAGAAGAAGCACCGGCUAACUCCGUGCCAGCAGCCGCGGUAAUACGGAGGGUGCGAGCGUUAAUCGGAAUAACUGGGCGUAAAGGGCACGCAGGCGGUUAUUUAAGUGAGGUGUGAAAGCCCUGGGCUUAACCUAGGAAUUGCAUUUCAGACUGGGUAACUAGAGUACUUUAGGGAGGGGUAGAAUUCCACGUGUAGCGGUGAAAUGCGUAGAGAUGUGGAGGAAUACCGAAGGCGAAGGCAGCCCCUUGGGAGUGUACUGACGCUCAUGUGCGAAAGCGUGGGGAGCAAACAGGAUUAGAUACCCUGGUAGUCCACGCUGUAAACGCUGUCGAUUUGGGGGUUGGGGUUUAACUCUGGCGCCCGUAGCUAACGUGAUAAAUCGACCGCCUGGGGAGUACGGCCGCAAGGUUA